rnacentral:rRNA from 1 species
CUUUGAAGAGAGAGUUCAAGAGGGCGUGAAACCGUUUAGAAGUAAAGAGAUAAAGCUACGAGGUAGUUGCAAAAAUCAGCUAGUCUGAGGUCUUAGAUUGGUCGUCCGACGUUAAAGCGGGCGGCUGGUCGCGAUACGGCCGAAGGUUGGUGCACUUUUUGCGACGAGCAUCGCGACCGAAGCGACGCCCGGUAGAAGGGGACUUUGAAGACAGAGCCGAUGGUUCUGCGACUAGAGUACCUGGAGACCGGUGUAGCGUUUCGGAUACCCGAGUAGUCGUCGUAAGACUCGUGACAUCUCAUCGUUUGGUUGGUCGAAAUGGCCGUUCUUGCUUGCAGGAGCGGUCGCCACCUGAUUUAACUUUGGGCUGGAUCGAGAGACUACGAAGGAUCGGCGAUGUCCGUGGUGGCCACUUAUCUCACCCGUCUUGAAACACGGACCAAGGAGUCUAACAUGUGCGCGAGUUAUUGGGUGGUAAACCCAAAGGCGAAAUAAAAGUAAAGACUGCUUACGCAGUAUUAGAUACGAUCCUGGACUUCGGUCUAGGCGGAGUAUCGUCCCAUCUAUGCGGUUCGUCCGUUGGGUGGAGAAAGAGCGUAAAUGUUGGGACCCGAAAGAUGGUGAACUAUGCUCGAGCAGAACGAAGCCAGAGGAAACUCUGGUGGAGGUUCGUAGCGGUUCUGACGUGCAAAUCGAUCGUCAGACCU